rnacentral:rRNA from 1 species
CGAAUUCGCCCUUCGGGGUGCCCAGGCGCGAAAACUUUGCAAUGCACGAAAGUGUGACAGGGUCAUCCCGAGUGCCGACCGCUGAGGUUGGCUUUUACCCAGUCUAGAAAGCUGGGGGAAUAAGGAGAGGGCAAGUCUGGUGUCAGCCGCCGCGGUAAUACCAGCUCUCCGAGUGGUGUGGACGUUUAUUGGGCCUAAAGCAUCCGUAGCUGGCUGAACAAGUCCCCUGUUAAACCCACCGAUUUAAUCGUUGGUCUGCGGGGGAUACUGCUCGGCUAGGGGACGAGAGAGGCAGACGGUAUUCCCGGGGUAGGGGUGAAAUCCUAUAAUCCCGAGAAGACCACCAGUGGCGAAGGCUGUCUGCUAGAACGCGCCCGACGGUGAGGGAUGAAAGCUGGGGGAGCGAACCGGAUUAGAUACCCGGGUAGUCCCAGCUGUAAACGAUGCAGACUAGGUGUUUGGACGGCCACGUGCCGUUCUAGUGCCGCAGGGAAGCUGUUAAGUCUGCCGCCUGGGGAGUACGAUCGCAAGAUUGAAACUUAAAGGAAUUGGCGGGGGAGCAC